rnacentral:rRNA from 1 species
UACGUAGGGCGCAAGCGUUGUCCGGAAUUAUUGGGCGUAAAGCGCUCGUAGGCGGCUUGUCACGUCGAUUGUGAAAGCCCGAGGCUUAACCUCGGGUCUGCAGUCGAUACGGGCUAGCUAGAGUGUGGUAGGGGAGAUCGGAAUUCCUGGUGUAGCGGUGAAAUGCGCAGAUAUCAGGAGGAACACCGAUGGCGAAGGCAGCUCGCUGGGACGGUACUGACGCUGAGGCGCGAAAGCGUGGGGAGCAAACAGG